CCUACGGGGGGCUGCAGUGGGGAAUAUUGCACAAUGGGCGCAAGCCUGAUGCAGCCAUGCCGCGUGUGUGAAGAAGGCCUUCGGGUUGUAAAGCACUUUCAGCGGGGAGGAAGGCGGUGAGGUUAAUAACCUCAUCGAUUGACGUUACCCGCAGAAGAAGCACCGGCUAACUCCGUGCCAGCAGCCGCGGUAAUACGGAGGGUGCAAGCGUUAAUCGGAAUUACUGGGCGUAAAGCGCACGCAGGCGGUCUGUCAAGUCGGAUGUGAAAUCCCCGGGCUCAACCUGGGAACUGCAUUCGAAACUGGCAGGCUAGAGUCUUGUAGAGGGGGGUAGAAUCCCAGGUGUAGCGGUGAAAUGCGUAGAGAUCUGGAGGAAUACCGGUGGCGAAGGCGGCCCCCUGGACAAAGACUGACGCUCAGGUGCGAAAGCGUGGGGAGCAAACAGGAUUAGAUACCCUUGUGGUC
rnacentral:rRNA from 1 species